rnacentral:tRNA from 1 species
GUGCCUAUAGUGUAAGGGCAGCACGGCAGUCUGUGGCACUGCAAGAAUGGGUUCAAAUCCCAUUAGGCACCCACCA